GAUGAACGCUAGCGGGAGGCCUAACACAUGCAAGCCGAGCGGUAUUUCUUCUUCGGGAGAGAGAGAGCGGCGUACGGGUGCGGAACACGUGUGCAACCUGCCUUUAUCUAGAGGAUAGCCUCUCGAAAGGAAGAUUAAUACUCUAUAAUAUAUUAAUUGGCAUCAAUUGAUAUUGAAAACUCCGGUGGAUAGAGAUGGGCACGCGCAAGAUUAGCUAGUUGGUGAGGUAACGGCUCACCAAGGCAAUGAUCUUUAGGGGGCCUGAGAGGGUGAUCCCCCACACUGGUACUGAGACACGGACCAGACUCCUACGGGAGGCAGCAGUGAGGAAUAUUGGUCAAUGGGUGCAAGCCUGAACCAGCCAUCCCGCGUGAAGGAUUAAGGUCCUAUGGAUUGUAAACUUCUUUUGUAUAGGGAUAAACCUACCCUCGUGAGGGUAGCUGAAGGUACUAUACGAAUAAGCACCGGCUGACUCCGUGCCAGCCGCCGCCGUAA
rnacentral:rRNA from 1 species